UGAAGGCUACGAAGACUGCCGAGAGAGAGGCAAAGAAAAAUUGUCUGCUGCUCAACUGGAUCCAACUUUGCUCAACUUUGCUUUCAUUCUGACUUAUAUAAGAAUUCGUCUGUUUAAACUUUUUAUGUUUUUGGGAUCAUUUUGAAAUUUUAUAUAUGGAGGUUGUCAAUGUUCCUAUAUUGGUGUAUUUAGUUCAUGAAUGAAUAGAUCGAAUGAAUG
rnacentral:lncRNA from 1 species